GCAACGCGAAGAACCUUACCAGGCCUUGACAUGCAGAGAACUUUCCAGAGAUGGAUUGGUGCCUUCGGGAGCUCUGACACAGGUGCUGCAUGGCUGUCGUCAGCUCGUGUCGUGAGAUGUUGGGUUAAGUCCCGUAACGAGCGCAACCCUUGUCCUUAGUUACCAGCACGUUAUGGUGGGCACUCUAAGGAGACUGCCGGUGGCAAACCGGAGGAAGGUGGGGAUGGCGUCAAGUCAUCAUGGCCCUUACGGCCUGGGCUACACACGUGCUACAAUGGUCGGUACAAAGGGUUGCCAAGCCGCGAGGUGGAGCUAAUCCCAUAAAACCGAUCGUAGUCCGGAUCGCAGUCUGCAACUCGACUGCGUGAAGUCGGAAUCGCUAGUAAUCGUGAAUCAGAAUGUCACGGUGAAUACGUUCCCGGGCCUU
rnacentral:rRNA from 1 species